UCUUGACUAGUAUAUCGGUUUAGUACAGCCGCCUGUCAUAUGCACGCGAACGCGGCAGAGCUGGGUUCGACUCCCAGGUCGAGAG